UACGGAGGGUGCAAGCGUUAAUCGGAAUUACUGGGCGUAAAGCGUGCGCAGGCGGUUUGUUAAGUCUGCUGUGAAAGCCCCGAGCUCAACUUGGGAAUUGCAGUGGAUACUGGCAGGCUGGAGUACGGUAGAGGAAGGUGGAAUUCCCGGUGUAGCAGUGAAAUGCGUAGAUAUCGGGAGGAACACCAGUGGCGAAGGCGGCCUUCUGGACCAGUACUGACACUUAGGUGCGAAAGCGUGGGGAGCAAACAGG
rnacentral:rRNA from 1 species